CCUACGGGAGGCAGCAGUGGGGAAUUUUCCGCAAUGGGCGAAAGCCUGACGGAGCAACGCCGCGUGAGGGAUGAGGGCCUCUGGGCUGUAAACCUCUUUUCUCAAGGAAGAAGAACUGACGGUACUUGAGGAAUAAGCCACGGCUAAUUCCGUGCCAGCAGCCGCGGUAAUACGGGAGUGGCAAGCGUUAUCCGGAAUUAUUGGGUUUAAAGGGUGCGUAGGUGGGUUGGUAAGUCAGUGGUGAAAUCCCCGAGCUUAACUCGGGAACUGCCAUUGAUACUAUCAGUCUUGAAUACCGUGGAGGUCAGCAGAAUAUGUUAUGUAGCGGUGAAAUGCUUAGAUAUGACAUAGAAUACCAAUUGCGAAGGCAGCUGGCUACCCGAAUAUUGACACUGAGGCACGAAAGCGUGGGGAUCAAACAGGAUUAGAUACCCUGGUAGUCCACGCCCUAAACUAUGGAUACUCGACAUACGCGAUACACUGUGUGUGUCUGAGCGAAAGCAUUAAGUAUCCCACCUGGGAAGUACGACCGCAAGGUUGAAACUCAAAUGAAUUGACGG
rnacentral:rRNA from 1 species